AUUGAACGCUGGCGGCGUGCUUAACACAUGCAAGUCGUGCGGUAACAGGCGUAGCAAUACGUGCUGACGAGCGGCGAACGGGUGCGUAAUACAUGGGAAUCUGCCCUUUAGUGGGGAAUAACCCGGCGAAAGCCGGGCUAAUGCCGCAUAAGAUCUUCGGAUGAAAGCGGGGGAUCGUAAGACCUCGCGCUGAUGGAUGAGCCCAUGCCGGAUUAGCAGUUGGUGAGGUAACGGCUCACCAAGGCGACGAUCCGUAGCUGGUCUGAGAGGACGGCCAGCCACACUGGGACUGAGACACGGCCCAGACUCCUACGGGAGGCAGCAGUGGGGAAUAUUGGACAAUGGGGAAACCCUGAUCCAGCGACGCCGCGUGUGUGAAGAAGGGCCCGCGGGUUGUAAAGCACUUUUCAGUAGGGAAGAAAGCCGAGUGCUAAUAUCACUCGGUCUUGACGUUACUUACAGAAGAAGCACCGGCUAACUCCGUGCCAGCA
rnacentral:rRNA from 1 species